ACCCGAGACUCAGUGAAAUUGAACUCGCUGUGAAGAUGCAGUGUACCCGCGGCUAGACGGAAAGACCCCGUGAACCUUUACUAUAGCUUGACACUGAACAUUGAGCCUUGAUGUGUAGGAUAGGUGGGAGGCUUUGAAGCGUGGACGCCAGUCUGCGUGGAGCCAACCUUGAAAUACCACCCUUUAAUGUUUGAUGUUCUAACGUUGGCCCCUGACCGGGGUUGCGGACAGUGUCUGGUGGGUAGUUUGACUGGGGCGGUCUCCUCCCAAAGCGUAACGG
rnacentral:rRNA from 1 species